GGGUGUGCGGAGCGGCUUGUGCGCGGCGAUGCAAGCGGCGCAAGAACUCAUAACGAGGGGUAGCAGCAGGCCGACUCAAUGGAGAGACGGAGCACCCAGCGGCGGAGCGAAGUACAUCGGCGACCUGCAUGGACACCAGCUGAGCCUAGGGGCGCUUGGCCCAUAUCCAUGGCAUAAAACUGUUCUCGCAGUAAAUUGACUCACGUGCUGAUUUCGGCGUAUAAUAUUCAUAGCAACCGCAGUUUGGAUUGGAUAUUUGGACCAUGAAUCUACUGAGCAUUGCCUCUCUCCGUGGGCACUGGGUUGUUCUCUUCUUCCCCUUUAGAGCAAGACACGGCUGCGGGCUGUAAGAUCAUGUCAUUUUACCUAUACCUCAUCUUGUAGAUAACAUAUAUAAUAGUUGGUUUAAAAAGUGUAUUAAUUAUUUAUUAUAGGGCACCGUUAGGCAUCAGAUUACCUUCCAGCAGACCUGUCAUGAGCCCUUCGAUUGAUUUAAUCUGAUGUGUGCUCUGACCCCUGGAAACAAGCUUGGACAGUUACUUUCUACGUACAAAAUCCAGCAUUAAUUGUCUGCACAAAUCACGCCGUUAAGUGGGUCGUUAAUUACACGGAAUUAUUUGAGGAUAUGCAUUCUUGGUCCUUGCAUUUAGGAUGCAACUUGCAGUUUUAGGAAACUUGCUUUUCAGGAAGCAAAACUUUUAACCAACAUGGCAACACCAAAUUUGCAUCAGAUGCAUGCGCUUGUAAUUUUGUUUGUAAUUAGUUGUGUUUACAUUAGUUAGAAAAUUUGCUUAUGUUGUCAAUGUCUGCUCCAAUAUUUUUGUUUUUUUUGUCAUGUCGGCAUAUUAUGUCUCAGAAGCAUCAAGAUCUUGUCCCAUCGACUAAACAAAUAGAGAAUUGCUUCAAAUAUCCUUCCAUCCAAAAUAAAAAU
rnacentral:lncRNA from 1 species